rnacentral:rRNA from 1 species
GAUGAACGCUGGCGGCGUGCCUAACACAUGCAAGUCGAGCGGAGAAUUGUUGCUUGCAACAAUUCUUAGCGGCGGACGGGUGAGUAACACGUGGGUAACCUGCCCUAAACAAAGGGAUAACAAUGAGAAAUCAUUGCUAAUACCGUAUAAGCUUACACUAUCGCAUGAUAGAGUAAGAAAAGAUUUAUCGGUUUAGGAGGGGCCCGCGUCUGAUUAGCUAGUUGGAGAGGUAACGGCUCACCAAGGCGACGAUCAGUAGCCGACCUGAGAGGGUGAUCGGCCACAUUGGGACUGAGACACGGCCCAAACUCCUACGGGAGGCAGCAGUGGGGAAUAUUGCACAAUGGAGGAAACUCUGAUGCAGCAACGCCGCGUGAAGGAAGAAGGUUUUCGGAUCGUAAACCUCUAUCUACAGGGAAGAAAAAAAUGACGGUACCUGAGGAAGAAGCCCCGGCUAACUACGUG